rnacentral:lncRNA from 1 species
GUUCCCUGUGGACAGAUAACUUCAGGAUGAAAGCUGCAUGCUGCUUGGAUAAAAGAUAGGGACCAUCUAUUUCUCAUUCUUGCGGUCAAGGAGACCUAUGGUACUACACACUCACAGAAACAUUCCUCAGGGGUCAGACAAAGGAGAGGCACCAGACCGUAAUACAUCCUGUCAACUUCUCAGAGACCCUUGUGCUAAAAUCCAUCCUGGCUAAAAGAUGCCUGUGCACACGGGAGGGCCCCGAGUCAGACCAAGGCCAAUUGAAGCAAGAUGAUUGGCCAGAGGAAGGACUGCCCCCAUAUACAUGACUUAAAGGACCUCAAACCCAGGUUCCUCUCUUUCUCUUUGUCUUUGCCUCUGUCUCUCUCUCUCUCCCUCUACACUCCCCACUCUCCAGCUAUCUGGUGCUUUCUCCACACCUGUCUUCUUUCUUCUCUCUUAAUAAACCCUGCCUGUGCUUUCUCCAUAUUAUCUUCUUUCUCUUCUCUCUUGAUAAACACUAAUUUACCUCACUAUCCUCAGUCUCUUUGCAGAAUUCUUUCUCCAAAGGGACAAGUUCUGGGUACCUACACCAAGUGGUUAGGGUUCAGUGUUCUCACCCCACAGCUACCUGAAAACAAUUUCAUAUUCUAUUUUUAAGCAGUUAUGGAGCAAGUAAACAGCUUUUAUGCCUCUUUGUUCUGAAUUGCCUUUAGCUCAAAAUAAUCCGUAUGCCAGACAGGUGUAUUUUGGAGUGUCAUAUUCUAGUACUCUUCAACUUGUUUUUCUUUUUCUUUUUCCUUUUUUGGCUUCCCAGUGGCAUAUGGAGAUGCCUGAGCAGGUUAUUAGGUCUAAGUUGCAGUUGCGAACUAUGCUACAGCUGUGGCAACACCAGAUCCUUAACCCGUUUUGCUGGGAUUGAAUCUGCACUACCUUGCUCCAGAGACAGCACUGAUCUUAUUGUGCCACAAUAGGAUCUCCUCAAUUUGCUUUUCUAUAAUUAAAAAUAUACCUUGAUAAACUUCCCAUGGAUUCUCCUCAAAAUUAUGGUAACACUGAUAUAAUAUUUUAUUGAAUACCAUUGGAUAAGUGCUGUUAGCAUAAUAAUAGAAGGGAAUUUUAUGUUUGCUCUCAGCAUUCCUUUAACCUUCAUUUGGUUAGGGUGACUUCCCUGACCCAUGAUAAAAAUUCUUGAAAACCUUUGUCUUUUCUUCCCAGUCUUAAGAAAUGCUGACCCAGAUUCUAGUCUCACUUUAAUUUUCAGAUCAAACAUUGCCUACCAUAUCAAUAAACGAAAGACGUCACUGUCGUUAGAGAUUGCAGCCACCUUCAAGAGUGAGCUGGUGAGCUCUGAGGGAACUCAGGAAGGAAACAAAGAAUACCUGCUAUCUAGCAGCCAUCAGACUGCAGCCAUUCCUGGCAGUGAGCCCUGAGGAAAUGUAGGAUAUUGGCCCCAAUGGCUGAGGUGCACAUCAAAGGAAUAAUUUCAGUGAGCCCAGACCUUGCAUCUUCCCAUACAUAGAAAAGUGCUAAAUUCCUUAACUUGAGCUAUCUAGUUUUCUGUUCUUAGCAGUAAUCUUUUGUUCCUACUACCUGCCCUUUGUUGCAAAAUUCCUAUAUAUUCUAUCGCUCCGCAAGUGUUAACUUGGAAUGCAGUCUCCAGGGCUUACCUCCUCAGUUUUGUCCACCAAAUAAAGCAAAACUCUAAACUUUUAGGUUGUGCAUAUUUUUUAUUUGACACCAUCUAAAAUCUAAAGUUAUAAUAUUUAUUUAAAAUCUUUUUUUUUUUUUGCCGCACCCAUGGCAUAUAGAAAUUUCUGGGCAGGAAUCGAAUCUGAGUCAUAGCUGCAACCUACACCACAGUCCAGGAACACCAGAUCCAUAACCCACUGCACCAGGCCAGGGAUUGAACCUGUACCUCAGCAGCAACCUGAGCUACUGCAAAGACGACAACACUAGGUCCUUAAUAUGCUGUACCACAAUAGGAAAUCUCUUUAAAAAUCUUACUCAAAAUUUUGGACUUGAUUUAAAAUCAAAUCUUCUCUCCUUUAGGUUUGCUUCAGUCCCAAAGCCUUCAUAGGAUGAGCAAGUAGGAUAGAGAUAGUGUUUGGUGUCUUUUCUAUUCCUGUGUUUUCCCAUUUAGAUAAAGUGGUUAAAAGGGUCAUGAGAAUCCUUUCUUGGAAGUGUACUGUGGUAAAUUGGCUUCCUAUACUUUGAACCUGGUCUGUGUUUAAAUUUGACUACUUUCUUGUAAAGUGUUGGGAUGCAGGAAGUUUUUCUCUACCCAUUAUUGGCUGAAAAUAAAAUACAUAUCAAUAGAAUUGUGAGUUAAAUAUUGUUUGGGGCAAAAUGAAGACUAUAGCCUGGGAAGAGGCCUAUCAGAUAGCUCUGAGAAAACACUCCAAAAAGGCAGGAGGGAAUGUCAGUAUAUAUGUGAUUUUGGUGAGGGGGUUGGGGGGGUCCAUGCAAUCAAGCACACAUUUUUACAGAAGGUUGCUGCUAGUCUCCUGAAGGUCACUGCUACUCAUGAGGAGCAGAUGUCACCAUGGAGGAUUUUAGUGGUUUUUUAGAUGAGGCAAUGCAUAAAAUCUUCUCCUAAAAAUAUGUAACUAUCUGAAGGCCUGUUCUGCCAGUUUUUCCAGAGCACAAAGUGUCUCACUCCUAAUCUCUACCCUGAGUUCCUUUGAGGGGGUGUUGAAGGUCAGCAGCUGCAGGGGCUCAUGAUUUAAUCCUUGUAGAGGCAAGUGACACGUGCCAGUCUCCAGUUAGCAUCUUCUAGGUUCUUCUGGCUGGUUUAUGAAUUAACUUGUCAUGAGACAGAUUUACAGAAGAAAAGUCAAAUUUUAAUAACAUGUAUACAUGGGAGAGAUCCAGGAUAACUAAGUAACUUGCCAAAAUGACUGAAACCCUUACCUUAAACACCAUCUUCAGCUAAAGACAAAAGAGGAUGUUAAGGGUAGGGAGUCAAUUAUGAGAAAAGCAGAGAAAACAAGGGUGAUUGUGAUCCAGAUUUAAGUCUUUACCUCCUCUAUUGAAAAGAAUUUCUAAAAAUUUGGCCAUCUUCCUCUCCCUGGUACCAGGGAGAUACCUUUACAAAUGGUGAUUAGUAGAAGCCUAUUGUCAUGGGUUGGGAAGAAAUGGAAAGUGACUGCUACUGGGUCCAGGGUUUCUUUUUUUCAGGUAAUGAAAAUGUUCUAAAAUUGACUGUAGAGAAGAAUUGCACAACUCAGUAUGUUGGAAACCAUUGAAUUGUUUACUUCAAAUAGUAUUUGAAUUAUAUCUCAAUCAAGGUGUUAUAUAUAUAAAACAUAUUAUAUAUAAUAUAUAUCAUAUACAUUAAAGUCAUGAAAAAGAGUAGAUCCUGUAACCACAGAUUUAUAUAUCUAGUUUUAAUCUUUCAACUGAACUCUAGGUUAUCUACUGUCUAUUGAAUAUCUCUAUAUGCAUCUGUCACUAGAACCUAAGAUUGAAUUUCCCCAUCAAAACACUUGAAUUAUUUCUUAACAUUGUCAUCAUUCUAGUCACUAAGGCUUUGAAGCCUGUUGAAGUAACAUUGACUCUGCCCUCUCAACUUCUAAAUAAAAUUAACCAGCUACUCACAAAAUACUUCUUAAGAAAAUUAUUUGGUAGUUAUGACAAUGGUGGGAUAUUUUAGCCAACUAGAAAGCUAACUUUCAUAGUAAUUUUUAUUAGAGAUAACUUUCAGGGUUAUUUACAUUUCACCCUAGGAAAAAGUAGCUUUUCUUUCUCUCUGAAGGAAUUAUGUCAAUAUGUCCUAGUGUUUGUAAGCAGAAGCCCUUGAGAUAGAGCACCUGGGUUCAAAUCUUAUCUCUUCUACUGACAGCAUUGUGAACUUUUAACACCUCUGUGAUGAUUAAUUUUGUGUGUCAGUUUGACCAGGUCCCACAGUGCCAGAUAUUUGCUUAAGCAUUAUUUUGAGUCUUCCUGGGAUGGUGUUUUUGGAUAAAGUUAAACUUUAAAUCUGAAAUCUGGGUAAAGCAGAUUGUCCUCCAUAAUGUGAGUAGGCCUCAUCCAGUCAAUUGAAGUCUUUAAUAGAACAAAAAUACUCGUUCUUCCUCAAGUAAGAGAGAAUUCCUCUUACUUGACAGCCUUAGAACUGGGACAUUGGCUUUUUUCCUGCCCUCAGAUUUAAACUGGAACAUCAGCUCACCCUGGGUCUCCAGCUUGCUGGACUUCAAACUGUAAUUAAACCACCAGCUUUCCUGGGUCUUCUGCUUUCUGACUCAUCCUGCAGACCUUGGGACUUGGCCAGCCUCCAUAAUUAUGUGAGCCAACUCCUUAUAAUAAGUCUAAUCUAUACAUCUAAAUCUACAUAUCUAUCAUCUCUCUCUCCCUCUGUCUGUCUCUCUCCAUCCUCUUAGGUCUGGGUUUUUGUUUUUGUUUUUUUUGGAGAACUCUGAAUUAUAUUAAACAACCUCUUUCAAUUAGGCUACUUUCGGUUGCAAAUAAAAGAAACCCCAAUUCAAAUGGACUUAAACUUCAUUAGACAGCAGCAUGGCUUUUUGGACAGAUUUAAUCAGUGUCUUUGAAAUACCAUCGAGGAUGCAGGUUUGUUUUGUUUUUUUUUUUCUCAUCUCUGUAAUCUAUCAUGCUUAUAGUCAAUUUCAUCAUCACUGCAGCCAAUGGCUACAGAUAAUCCUGUUGUUACCAAGACACAAUCAUAUUCAGAGGAAGAAGUUAAAACAUUCCUUCCUGUGCUUUCUCGUAUUAGCAAGUAAAUAUUUUCCAGAAGCUUCCAAUUUCUCUUCAUGACUUAAGAAUUAAGGAAUGGUUCAUAUAGAAUUACUGAUGUCUGUCCAAUUCAAAUAAAUGAGUGUGGAAUAGACUCACAGAUGAAGAGUAGAACAAAAUUGUUACUCUUUUGAGAAGGAAUAAGCAGGUUGCAAUAAAAAAUACCACUACAUUCUCUAGUCCUCAGUUUCUAUGUAAAACGGGUAGAGAAAUAGCAUCCACCAUAAAGAGUUAUUGUGAAAAUUAAAAGGGAUUCUGCCUUUAAUAAGAAUGUUUACCAUUGUGAUUGAUGUAUUAUACUCAUUUGAUAAAUAAGUUCUUAUUCAUUGAAAUAUUCAUAUUUUCUUUUUCAUUUUCUAUUGCUCAGUAAUCUGUGGAAAAAGGAAAGGUGAGGAGAGGAGAAAAGAAGAAAAGGAAGAAAUUUCUACCUUCCUAUUAUAUUUAUUUGUUUAUUGUUCACAGUCCUGAAAUUAAAUGUUGAUUUCCAGUGUUAGGCAGAUCAGAAUAGAAUUGUUUUUAUUGAACAAAAUACAUUAUUUCUAAAACUCAGGUUUCUUGAAGUAGACAUUUCAUGAUGUUUCUAUUAUUGAAUGACUUUUGUUCCAUGAAGUGUAUUUUUAAAUUCCCCAAAUAAUCGCAUUCACAUGUGGUAAACAAAUAUCAUUCCCAUGUCACACCUACUUCCUAUUUAAAGUACACAGAUAAAUGUUCCUGUUUGUUUGAAUUUUAAAGUAAGAUAUUUGAUGAAUUCCUGCUGUGGUGCACAAGGGAUCCUGUGCUGUCUGUCCAGGCAUUGGGUUUGAGGUGUGGAUUUGAACCCUGGCCUGGUGUAGUGGGUUAGGGAUCCUGUGUUGUGGCAGGUAUGCCAUGGGUUGCACCUGUGGCUCAGAUUUGAUCCCUUGAUCCCUGGCCUGGGAAUUUCUAUAUGCCGCAAGUGCAGC